GAGAGCCGAGGCCAGAAGGCCGAGACCAGAGAGCGCCGACCAGAAAGGCAACCCCGCCGAGCCCAUGCCUUAGCCAAAUAUCCAAUCUCCGCCCAACCCUCCAAAGGAUCUGACAACUAAAUAUAUGACUCCACUUCAAUCUGCCACCAUUCCCAAGUCAUUAAGGCACAAGAUCUCCGCAGGCAUUCGGCACACCCUAUCAUUAAUGCAUGAGACUCCCUUAAGUCUCCGAUGCACUCAGGCAUUUAAUGAACACGACCCAAGACGAUCUCCGGAUCACUGAACCAUCAGAGCGUAUGGCUCUACCUGGCCGCCGGUUCAUUCGGUAAUAAAGGCACUUACCAUCCACAGACCCCAGGCCCGCUACGGCCGGCGGUUCAACCACUCCAACAGGUCCGAUCGACCGUGACAACUCCCUGGUUCCGGUCUGAUUCGGCCCCGUUCUCCACUACGCCAUAAAUGGGCCAAAUCGUGCCCAAUUAUGACGGACAGGGAUAAAUCCCCCGGUUACCUCCCAGAUAACGUAAUCCCCUCCUAUAAAAGGGAACCUGGGAGAACCAAAGAAGGGGGGAAAAACAAAAACGGAAACAGAUCCCCGGGAUUGAACCCGCCGGGAAGCACAGACGCAAUUGAGGACAUCAUCCUCUUCGUCUUCUUUAUCUUAUCCAAAUGUUCUUGCUGUCUUCUCCAGAUACUCUCCCCCCCGCUCUCUCCACAUAUUUGCCCCCUCUGACUUAGGCAUCGGAGGGCCGGCGCCGGGGAGCCCGGCCACCGGCUUUUUUGCAGGACAGGACAGGACUGGACGCACUCCCCUCCUCGGACGCUCCCACGCCCCCCGGUGGAGGACGCAGCCGGCCGGCGCACCGCCGUCCGCCCCCUGUAGCAGCGGAGCUCCUCCUUCUCCGGCUUCGCGGCGGCCCCCGGGUCCAAUUUCCAGCAACAAAU
rnacentral:lncRNA from 1 species